rnacentral:rRNA from 1 species
UAGGGAAUCUUCGGCAAUGGACGAAAGUCUGACCGAGCAACGCCGCGUGAGUGAAGAAGGUUUUCGGAUCGUAAAACUCUGUUGUUAGAGAAGAACAAGGACGUUAGUAACUGAACGUCCCCUGACGGUAUCUAACCAGAAAGCCACGGCUAACUACGUGCCAGCAGCCGCGGUAAUACGAAGGUGGCAAGCGUUGUCCGGAUUUAUUGGGCGUAAAGCGAGCGCAGGCGGUUUCUUAAGUCUGAUGUGAAAGCCCCCGGCUCAACCGGGGAGGGUCAUUGGAAACUGGGAGACUGGAGUGCAGAAGAGGAGAGUGGAAUUCCAUGUGUAGCGGUGAAAUGCGUAGAUAUAUGGAGGAACACCAGUGGCGAAGGCGGCUCUCUGGUCUGUAACUGACGCUGAGGCUCGAAAGCGUGGGGAGCAAACAGG